AGUGUGCGUCGUUGCGACGGGCGCGCGCGCGUAAGCGCGUAUGUGUGUGCAUGCGUGUCGGCCAAUCGUGACUCAAGUAGCAACGGCGUUCAACCAAUGGCAGCAGGCGGCUGUACUCUCGCGAGUGCGCGCCAUCGUCAUCGCCGGAUGCGGCCGUCGUGCGACGAAUGGUGGGGAUGAAGACUGAGAGUGCGGUAAGGGCUACGCGCUCGAGCGCAUUCUCGUUCGUCGUAGCUCGCUCUCGGAUUCGGUCGUGUUUCGCGUCAGUCUCGAUCUGUACGAAGUUCGUUCGGCGCCUCACGUUCUCACGAAUGAUCAUUUCGCGUGCGAUCGACUCCACCUGUCGUUUUGCCCGUCCGCGACAGAGAACUGACAGAAAAAAGAUAUCUACAGUUUUUCUUUUGAGUUUUCUGAAAUCUCCCGCUUUUUGAAGAUUUAAAAGAAAAAGUGCGGAUAUUAAUAGUUCUCUGGAUUCUUCGUAAAAGGCUUCAAGGAAAUCACUAAAAACAUAAUCAAGAUUGAGUCUGAUAUAUGCUCAAGAACGACUUCUAAAAGUUAAAUCUGCCUUAUCGUAAUAACAAGCAGGAUCUAUAAGUCAAGUACUUUUACUUGCCUAAUAUCAAGAGGAUGGAAUUAAUCGUUUUCAAAUAACGAUCAAGUUUGUUCAGGUUACGAGGAGAAUCUAUUAUAACAUAAUUAAGGAAAAAAAAUUAAAUUUAAAUUCAGAAAAAAGGGGAACUAGGAGAAAGCCAAAAAGGUAAUAAUUUGUGCUGCAAAGGUACGAAUAUCUAUUUUAAAAGAAGAGGAACCUACAGAAAUCACAGGCGCCGCCUAUACGAGCACUGCUGCACGAAUCGCAAAUUUUGCGUGCGUGGCGUGACCGAAGCGGGACAAGCAUUGGCUUAAAUCGUGCUGAUUACGCGGUCGACAUCGUGCGUAUUUUUGGAUUUGAUUUUUCCCUGUGUAAGUCUUUUGAAAAUGUUGUCAAGUCGACGCCAAUGGGACGCGGAUGACAUCAUUGCGAAACGGUUGGCUCGUGGGGCAAAGAGACAGCGGUAAAGACCGUGGAUCAUUGAAAGGGGAAGCAGGAGGAGGUAGAGGCGAAGUAUAUGAUGCUAGAGAAGAGCAGAGAUGACAGAGAUGAAACGAAUAGGAAGAGAAGACACAUGUGAAGGAUGCAAAGAAGCAAUGAGCGAGAAA